UAGGAGUCAAAGCUUGGUCCCUUGCCAUCCU
rnacentral:piRNA from 1 species